rnacentral:lncRNA from 1 species
GGCAGGUYGUGCRUGGRAGYCYCRGAGGCCGGGGAARGAGGCUCCUUUGGGUCAGCGUGGGGCUGYUGGGGAGCYRUGGGGCAGCAAUCAGCACCAGSAGGGYGUUUGACCAGCCGGGACAGAGCAGACCCUUGCGGGGGAAGCCCUCCAGGCCCCAGCGAGGCGCUCAGSGGUUGUGGCCUUUGCUCUSCCCCUCCAGCCUGYGUGCUGUGUYGCCGGGCCGAUUCGGACCCAGAKAGGUAUGGGGAGAAAYGGCGGAAGGAUGGUCUCURUGCCCAUGAGACUUGCCUGCUCUGCUACGUCUGUGGUGAGCACGGGGCCAUCACUAGCUGCCGGCAGAAGGGCUGCAAGCGCAGCUUCCACUUCCCGUGCGGCUGCAAAGAUGGCUGCGUCUCGCAGUUCUUUGGGCAGUACAGGUCCUUCUGCCGGGAACAUCUCCCGGAGCAAAGAGUGCAGGCACAGCUGGAUGGGGAGACCUUCUGCCUCAUUUGUCUGGAGCCCGUGGAGGAAAAGCUCUCCCACCACACUCUGGUGUGCCCUGCGUGUACGCACGCAUGGUUCCACCAGGGCUGCAUCCAGCAAUAGGCUCUCGGGGCAGGCUUCUUCUGCUUCCAGUGCCCGCAGUGUAAAGACAGGGAGACAUUCCUGUGGGAAAUGUCUUCCCUGGGCAUCCGAGUGCCCCUCAGACAACCCACGUGGGAGGCAGAGGGUGCCUUUGCCAAGCUGUAUGAGAGGCACCGUUGAUGUGAUGCCAGCCGGUGUCUUUGUGCGCAUGGCCGAGAAGAGGCAGCAGAAGAGGGGCCAUGGCAGCUGCUGCUUUGCUCCUCCUGUGCUGCCAAAGGCACGCACCACCGCUGCUCCGCCUUGAGGCCCACCACAGCCACAUGGGAGUGUGUUGACUGUGCGGGCCUGGGCACUG